rnacentral:rRNA from 1 species
AUGCGUGGUCUGCAACUGCCGCUCCUCCAAGUUGCCCUUCGCUGCGCAAAGGACCUCGAUCUCAUCCGCUGCGUCGGGGAUCUUGGGCAUGCGGUUUCCCCACGGGCGGCGGGCACGCUGUUUUCCCCGCGGGCAGCGACCUCAAAGUCCGCGACAUUGGCGGUUGGGGGGCGCACCCCUCCUCGUCAUUCUCCAUCGCAAGCCCUCCACUCUUCCCUGUGCGGUGCAAACCAACAGCCGUCCGGCAGGGAGAAGGCAUGGUGUCACCGACAGCAGCGCACCGCGUAG